UGGGGAAUAUUGCACAAUGGGCGAAAGCCUGAUGCAGCAACGCCGCGUGAGCGAUGAAGGCCUUCGGGUCGUAAAGCUCUGUCCUCAAGGAAGAUAAUGACGGUACUUGAGGAGGAAGCCCCGGCUAACUACGUGCCAGCAGCCGCGGUAAUACGUAGGGGGCUAGCGUUAUCCGGAAUUACUGGGCGUAAAGGGUGCGUAGGUGGUUUCUUAAGUCAGAGGUGAAAGGCUACGGCUCAACCGUAGUAAGCCUUUGAAACUGAGAAACUUGAGUGCAGGAGAGGAGAGUGGAAUUCCUAGUGUAGCGGUGAAAUGCGUAGAUAUUAGGAGGAACACCAGUUGCGAAGGCGACUCUCUGGACUGUAACUGACACUGAGGCACGAAAGCGUGGGGAGCAAACA
rnacentral:rRNA from 1 species